AUUGAACGCUGGCGGCAGGCCUAACACAUGCAAGUCGAGCGGAUGAAGGGAGCUUGCUCCUGGAUUCAGCGGCGGACGGGUGAGUAAUGCCUAGGAAUCUGCCUGGUAGUGGGGGACAACGUUUCGAAAGGAACGCUAAUACCGCAUACGUCCUACGGGAGAAAGCAGGGGACCUUCGGGCCUUGCGCUAUCAGAUGAGCCUAGGUCGGAUUAGCUAGUUGGUGAGGUAAUGGCUCACCAAGGCGACGAUCCGUAACUGGUCUGAGAGGAUGAUCAGUCACACUGGAACUGAGACACGGUCCAGACUCCUACGGGAGGCAGCAGUGGGGAAUAUUGGACAAUGGGCGAAAGCCUGAUCCAGCCAUGCCGCGUGUGUGAAGAAGGUCUUCGGAUUGUAAAGCACUUUAAGUUGGGAGGAAGGGCAGUAAGUUAAUACCUUGCUGUUUUGACGUUACCGACAGAAUAAGCACCGGCUAACUUCGUGCCAGCAGCCGCCGUAACAC
rnacentral:rRNA from 1 species